GUAUCACUUCAGCAGCACAUGUACUAAAAUUGGAAGGAUACAGAGAAAGUUGGCAUGGCUCAUGAGCAAGGAUGACAUGCAAAUUCGUGAAGUGUUUCAUACUUUC
ensembl:snRNA U6 U6 spliceosomal RNA